rnacentral:rRNA from 1 species
CCUACGGGGGGCUGCAGUGGGGAAUAUUGCACAAUGGGGGAAACCCUGAUGCAGCAACGCCGCGUGAGCGAUGAAGGCCUUCGGGUCGUAAAGCUCUGUCCUAAGGGAAGAAUACUGACGGUACCUUAGGAGGAAGCCCCGGCUAACUACGUGCCAGCAGCCGCGGUAAUACGUAGGGGGCUAGCGUUAUCCGGAAUUACUGGGCGUAAAGGGUGCGUAGGCGGCCCUUCAAGUCAGAGGUGAAAGGCUACGGCUCAACCGUAGUAAGCCUUGGAAACUGUAGGGCUUGAGUGCAGGAGAGGAGAGGGUAUUUCCCAGUGUCGCGGUCAAAUGCGUCGAAAUUGGGAGGAGCACCAGAUGCGAAGGCGGCUCUCUGGACUGUAUCUGACGCCGAGGCAGGAAUGCGCGGGGAGGGAACAGGAUUAUAUACCGGUGUAGCC